UACGUAGGGUGCAAGCGUUGUCCGGAAUUAUUGGGCGUAAAGAGCUCGUAGGCGGCUCGUCACGUCGGCUGUGAAAACCCGGGGCUCAACCCCGGGCCUGCAGUCGAUACGGGCGAGCUAGAGUUCGGCAGGGGAGACUGGAAUUCCUGGUGUAGCGGUGAAAUGCGCAGAUAUCAGGAGGAACACCGGUGGCGAAGGCGGGUCUCUGGGCCGUAACUGACGCUGAGGAGCGAAAGCAUGGGGAGCGAACAGG
rnacentral:rRNA from 1 species